GACGAACGCUGGCGGCGUGCCUAAUACAUGCAAGUUGAGCGAUGAAGAUUGGUGCUUGCCCCAAUUUGAAGAGCAGCGAACGGGUGAGUAACGCGUGGGGAAUCUGCCUUUGAGCGGGGGACAACAUUUGGAAACGAAUGCUAAUACCGCAUAACAACUUUAAACAUAAGUUUUAAGUUUGAAAGAUGCAAUUGCAUCACUCAAAGAUGAUCCCGCGUUGUAUUAGCUAGUUGGUGAGGUAAAGGCUCACCAAGGCGAUGAUACAUAGCCGACCUGAGAGGGUGACCGGCCAAAUGGGAACGGGACAAGGGCCAAAACCCCUAGGGGGGGCAGCAGUAGGGAAUUUUUGGCAAGGGGCAAAAGUCUAACCCACCAACCCCGGGGGAGGGAAAAAGGUUUUCGGUUCGUAAAACUCUGUUGGUAGGAAAGAAGGUGGGGGGAAGGGGAAAGCUAAUCAAGUGGGGGGAACAACCCAGAAAGGAACGGCAACCUACGG
rnacentral:rRNA from 1 species